rnacentral:rRNA from 1 species
UACGAAGGGGCUAGCGUUGCUCGGAAUCACUGGGCGUAAAGCGCACGUAGGCGGCUUUUUAAGUCAGGGGUGAAAUCCUGGAGCUCAACUCCAGAACUGCCUUUGAUACUGAGAGGCUUGAGUCCGGGAGAGGUGAGGUGGAACUGCGAGUGUAGAGGUGAAAUUCGUAGAUAUUCGGCAAGAACACCAGUGGCGAAGGCGGCUCACUGGCCCGGUACUGACGCUGAGGUGCGAAAGCGUGGGGAGCAAACAGG